rnacentral:rRNA from 1 species
ACGAACGCUGGCGGCGUGCUUAACACAUGCAAGUCGAACGAAGAGCGAUGGAAGCUUGCUUCUAUCAAUCUUAGUGGCGAACGGGUGAGUAACGCGUAAUCAACCUGCCCUUCAGAGGGGGACAACAGUUGGAAACGACUGCUAAUACCGCAUACGAUCUAAUCUCGGCAUCGAGGAUAGAUGAAAGGUGGCCUCUACAUGUAAGCUAUCACUGAAGGAGGGGAUUGCGUCUGAUUAGCUAGUUGGAGGGGUAACGGCCCACCAAGGCGAUGAUCAGUAGCCGGUCUGAGAGGAUGAACGGCCACAUUGGGACUGAGACACGGCCCAGACUCCUACGGGAGGCAGCAGUGGGGAAUCUUCCGCAAUGGACGAAAGUCUGACGGAGCAACGCCGCGUGAGUGAUGACGGCCUUCGGGUUGUAAAGCUCUGUUAAUCGGGACGAAAGGCCUUCUUGCGAACAGUUAGAAGGAUUGACGGUACCGGAAGAGAAAGCCACGGCUAACUACGUG